AAAGAGCGAAGGAAUAUGUACACAAGCGAUCGAUCCACCGAAUAAAUGUACCGGGAAAUUUAAGAUAGGAGAGCCGACGAUUGACAACAGGAGAAGUAUAAGAAAUUCAUAAACCGGAUCAGUAAGAAGAAGGAGGAGUAGAGACAAGGAGUCCGUAGGUGGACCUGCGGAAGAAUCAUGCACACGGGGGAGUUGCAGCAAACCCACGUUUGAGGCGAACCAACACGUUGUCCCCCCCCUUCCGGUGGCCUCGGCCGCGGCGGCUAAACCCCGUCGCGUCCGUCGUCGCCGCGUCGGAAUACCAAUGAUACCGAAUCACUUCGACCAAAUGACUUAGUCCCAUUUUGGACCCCUUAACUUCUAGUUAGGGGGCGAGAUGAACAUAAGGUUGUGAACACAACUCUCAGCAACGGAUAUCUUGGCUCCUGCAACGAUGAAGAACGCAGCGAAAUGCGAUACCUAGUGUGAAUUGCAGAAUUCCGCGAAUCAUUGAGUCUUUGAACGCAAGUUGCGCCCGAGGCUCGACCGAGGGCAUUUCCGUUAGAGCGUCACCGCGCGCCCCCACCGAGCUCCCCAACCAAGGGAGGAGGAGUUCGAGUGCAAUUGGCCGUCCCGAUUUGUUACCCUUUGUUGUGGAAUCGGAAUCGGGUCGGCCGAAGUACCUUGGCAGACUCCGUGGCGACACGGCCCACGAUCGGGUGAUCCGAGCCCUUCUCAAGGGGCUCGGAAUUUUUCUAAGUGUGAGGCCGCGCCGCCCCGUGUGUCCCGAAGGAGGAAAGUGUUACAUGAUUAAAAGUGUUACAUUGAAGUGAGCAGUGAAGUGUUACCAGAGUUACGCACCAGACCUCUAAUCGGGAAAGACUACCCGCU
rnacentral:rRNA from 1 species